UACGUAGGGGGCAAGCGUUGUCCGGAUUUAUUGGGCGUAAAGCGCUCGCAGGCGGCUUGCUACGUCGUGCGUGAAACACCCCGGCUCAACUGGGGAGGGUCGUGCGAUACGGGCAGGCUGGAGGCCAGUAGGGGGAUGCGGAAUUCCGGGUGUAGUGGUGGAAUGCGUAGAGAUCCGGAGGAACACCGGUGGCGAAGGCGGUUGGCUGGGCCACAACUGACACUGAUGCGCGACAGCGUGGGGAGCAAACAGG
rnacentral:rRNA from 1 species